rnacentral:lncRNA from 1 species
UGGAGCACCUACCAUGGUGCUGGGGUAACAGAAACAGUCCUGCCCUCGGGGGGCUUACAUUCUAGCUCAGGGAAGACAAGCAAGAAACAGCCAACUAAACAUGAAGUUGUCAGGACAGCACGGCAGGGUAAAGAGAGAGAGUGUUGGGGAGGGUGUAGGAAAUAAAGUGCUCUUUUAAGUAAGAUGACCAGAGAAGGGCUCACAGAUAAAGUGACAUCUGACAAGGGACCUGAAGGGAAUUAAGGAAACAGGCAGUCAGAUAUGCGAGAGAAGAGCUCUUCAGGCAGAGAAAAGCAGCUGCUACCACAUUGACGGGCUCUCCAGGUGGGCGACGUUCAGCACAGCUUCAGGGACCUUGCAGCUCUGCAGCCAGAGAACUCCUCCAGGGCCCCAGGGCCCACAGAGCACGAUAAGGCUGGACGCGGCUCCUGACAUAUACAGCGAUGCUCAAUAAACAGUAGCGUGCCCUGAGUCCCCUGACCUCCCUCCACUUCUGCACCCGGAGGAAAAUGUCACACCAAAACGCAUGGUUUCUGAUUUCUUCAGGGUCACUGAAGGGAUGGGUGACACCAUCCAGAAGUGCAGCAGGGUUGACAUCCCAUGAGGCAAACGUUGACACGGGAUGGGAGGGAUCCUGAGGAUCAAUUGCCUCCCUACCCCCUCCCAUCACUAGAUGUUCACCAGUCUGCUCAGACAGCAUGUGUGGUCCUGCACAGAAGAAGAUAUACCUGAGACCAUCAGCCACACCUGUCACAAAGCUGUGUUUUGCGAAGUUCAGCCUUGCAUUUCCCGGUGUCUGCUCUCCCCAUCUCCCUGCCUCACUCUCCACUUUCCUCACUCCUGUGACCACUGGAUCACACUCUCCAUUAGCGUGAUAAGACAAGCUUUUUCCUUGGGCUCUGCUUUCUGGGAACCAGGCCUAAGGCAGUUGGUACUAAGCAUGGUCCUAGAGAGCAGAUCGUCAAGAUGGGACGUAGGAGCUGGGUUGCCCAUCUAUCUGAAGACAGUAGGGACCACUUCGCCGUGGAGAGUGGAGUGAUG